CAAAGGCGAACUGGGCAGAAGAGCUCAAUAGUAUCUUGUGGGCACUCCGAACUACCCCCAGAACGUCCACUAAAUAAACGCCCUUUGCACUUGCUUACGGCACAGAGGCCGUAGUCCCAGUCGAGCUGCAAAUACCCACUCAUCGAGUCCAAUUUGCUAAUGAGAACAGCAACGACGACAAGUUAAGGAACAACUUGGACGCUCUCGAAGAAAUUAGGGAGGAAGCUCAAGUCCGAACUGCUGCUUACCAACAACGGGCAGCCCGUUAUUACAACCAAAGGGUCAGGGAAAGAAGUCUAAAG
rnacentral:lncRNA from 1 species